CACACGGUCCGGUCCCGGACUUCGCUUAGUGUUGGAGAGCUCCUGGGACUCUAGUAGACUUUGGACUGACCUUCGGCUGAACUUGACCGUGGCGAGAUCUACACUUAUGAGGAUACCCCUGGUGAGAGCAGCUCUACCCUUCAAUAGCUUUCUCCUAAUCUUGAACCACUAACAAUUGAAAUCUAAAGCCAGUGACUGAGAACGCUGAGGACGGAAGGAUCUCAAAUUGGAGGUCAACCUCAGCAAUGUAGCAAGAACCCGACUCAAAAUAUAAAGGACUGAGGAUGUAACUCAAUGGUAGAGCAUCCCUGGGCUCGAUCCCCAAUACAUAAAAAGAAAGAAAAAUGAAAUCAUACUAAAUAUGUUCUCUGAUCGUAAUGGAAAUAAGCAAUCAACAUGAUGACAGGACAGCCUUUAAACAUUUGGAAAUUAAGCACUACAUAUCUAAAUAAUCCAUGAAUUAAAGAAGAAAACGCAAAGGAGAAAAUAUUUUAAUUGAAAAAGAGUUAAAGUACGCGUCCUGUGGGCGGAACAGUAGUAGAGCUGCUUGCUUAGCAUGUGCCAAAAUAAAGAAUACAGUAUCAAAAUGUGUACUAAUGUUGUAAAGUGAAAUUUAUGGCACUAACUGCUUCUGUUUAAAAAAAGGGGGGGGGGAGGUCUAAAAUCAGCAAUCUAAGUUUCCGUUUUAAAACACUAGAAAAAGAAGCAAAAAAUUGACCCUUACAUCCAAAGCAAACAGGAGGAAAUAACAGAGGAACAAAAAAUGAAAGAAAUUGAAAACAAAAACUACAGGAAAAUAAUACUAAGAGCUGAACCUUAGUAUUAUUAGCUGAAAAGACCAAAAAAGUCCAUGAAUCUAUAACAAAGCUGAAAAACACGGAAAACACACACACAAAUUACUUCUAUAAGAAUGCAAAAAAAGAUAUCACUAAAGACCCCACCAACUUUAAAAAUAUCGUGAGGCAAUACGAGGAACAAUUAAUUCUAUGUACAUAAAUUUGACAAUUUAUAUGAAAUGGACUAAUUACUUAAAAGCACAUCCUACCAAAAUUCACUCAAAAAGAAAUACAUAAGCUGAAUUAGCAUAUGUUGAAUUUCCCAUUAAAAACCUUCCAAACAAGGAUAGGGGUGUAAUUCAGUGAUAGAGCACUUGCCUAGCAUGUACAAGGUCCUAGGUUUGAUAUUCCCUACCACAAAAGAGGGAAAAAAAAAAAAAAACUACAAAAAAAAAGAAAUAUCCAGGCUCAGAUUGUUUCGUUGGUCAAUUCUGGCUCUACCAAAUAUUUAAUAAAGAAACAAUAAUUCUACAAAAACUCUUUCAGAAAAUUGAAGAGAACUAAACAUUUUCAUUCUAUAAACUUAAUAUUACCCCAGUAGCAAAACCAGAAAAAGACAUUACAACAAUAUUUUAUACCCUUCUUAUCCUCAUGAACUUAGGUGCGAACUUGCUAGCCAACUUUGAGCAAAUGGAUUCUAAUAACCUACAAAAAGGAUAAGUUAUCACAACUGGGGUUUAUCCCAAGAAUUUCAAAGUGGGUUUACCAUUCAAAAUUAAGCAUAACUCACCAUCUCAAUAGAUGCAAAAAUGCUUUUAACAAAUGCUAAUAUCUAUUCAUUAUAAAGCUCUCAGCAAUUGAGGGAAAAAUAGGAAGAAAAGGAAACUCCUCAGCCUGAUAAUGCACACCUAUGAAAACCUCAAUCCAAGCCAAACAGUAUUGAUAAAGAAGAACAAAGUCAGAGGAGUCAUAUUUCCUGAUAUUAAAGCCUACCACACAAUGACAGGAAACAAAAUAGUGUAGCACAUUUAUAGGAUAGUUUUUAUAGCCAGUAGAAUAGGAUAGAGAACACGGACCAUAACCGGAAUCAACCGGUCAGUUGAUUUUUUACAAGGGUGCCAAGAUCAUUCAAUGAGGAAAAAACAAGUCUUUUCAACAGACAGUGCUGGGUGAACUGAAUAUCCACAUGCAAAAGAAUGAAGCUGGACUCCUACCACUGGACUCCAAAAUUGGUCAAAGAUAUAAACAGAAGAGCCGAAAGUAUAAAACUUAGAAGGAAACAUGGAAAGAAAGCUUCAUGAUAUUGGAUUUGGCAAUUUUGGCAAUGAGUCUUUUAAUAUGACACCAAAAGCACAAGCAAAAAAGAAAAAAUUGAAUAAAAUUUUGUAUAUCCCUAAAGCAAUUUGG
rnacentral:lncRNA from 1 species